CCGGAUUAUUAGCAGCAACACCACCAUCUGUAAGGUUAAAUUCUCUCACGUUCCCCUCGUGGUCUACAGUUUCAAAGUAAUAAGUUGGAAGAUAAGUUGGGGCAGCUGAGGUUGCUAUGCAAAUAUCUGAGAGUAAGGCAUUCAUGCUUGGGUUUUUCUUUACC